rnacentral:rRNA from 1 species
AGUGAACGCUGGCGGUAGGCCUAACACAUGCCAGUCGAACGGCAGCACAGUAAGCGCUUGCUCUUACGGGUGGCGAGUGGCGGACGGGUGAGGAAUACAUCGGCAUCUACUUUUUCGUGGGUGAUAACGUAGGGAAACUUACGCUAAUACCGCAUACGACCUACGGGUGAAAGCAGGGGAUCUUCGGACCUUUCGCGAUUGAAUGAGCCGAUGUCGGAUUAGCUAGUUGGCGGGGUAAAGGCCCACCAAGGCGACGAUCCGUAGCUGGUCUGAGAGGAUGAUCAGCCACACUGGAACUGAGACACGGUCCAGACUCCUACGGGAGGCAGCAGUGGGGAAUAUUGGACAAUGGGCGCAAGCCUGAUCCAGCCAUACCGCGUGGGUGAAGAAGGCCUUCGGGUUGUAAAGCCCUUUUGUUGGGAAAGAAAAGCAGCAGGUUAAUACCCCGCUGUUCUGACGGUACCCAAAGAAUAAGCACCGGCUAACUUCGUG